AAGGCUCAUUAAAUCAGUUAUGGUUCCUUAGAUCGUACCCACAUUUACUUGGAUAACUGUGGUAAUUCUAGAGCUAAUACAUGCAAACAGAGUUCCGACCGGAGACGGGAGGAAUGCUUUUAUUAGAUCAAAACCAAUCGGCGGCGGGUGCGUUCGCGCGCCCGUUCGCCGCUCAACCUGGUGACUCUGAAUAACUUUCGGCUGAUCGCACGGUCCAGCACCGGCGACGCAUCUUUCAAAUGUCUGCCUUAUCAACUGUCGAUGGUAGGUUCUGCGCCUACCAUGGUCGUAACGGGUAACGGGGAAUCAGGGUUCGAUUCCGGAGAGGGAGCCUGAGAAACGGCUACCACAUCCAAGGAAGGCAGCAGGCGCGCAAAUUACCCACUCCCGGCACGGGGAGGUAGUGACGAAAAAUAACGAUACGGGACUCAUCCGAGGCCCCGUAAU
rnacentral:rRNA from 1 species